rnacentral:rRNA from 1 species
UGCAGUCGAACGGAAGGCCUCUAGCUUGCUGGGGGUACUCGAGUGGCGAACGGGUGAGUAACACGUGGGUGAUCUGCCCUGCACUUCGGGAUAAGCUUGGGAAACUGGGUCUAAUACCGGAUAUGAACGGUCUUUGGUGUGAUUGUUGGAAAGAUUUUUUCGGUGUGGGAUGAGCUCGCGGCCUAUCAGCUUGUUGGUGGGGUAAUGGCCUACCAAGGCGUCGACGGGUAGCCGGCCUGAGAGGGUGUACGGCCACAUUGGGACUGAGAUACGGCCCAGACUCCUACGGGAGGCAGCAGUGGGGAAUAUUGCACAAUGGGCGCAAGCCUGAUGCAGCGACGCCGCGUGGGGGAUGAAGGCCUUCGGGUUGUAAACUCCUUUCGCUAGGGACGAAGCCUUUUAUUGGGUGACGGUACCUGGAUAAGAAGCACCGGCUAACUACGUGCCAGCAGCCGCGGUAAUACGUAGGGUGCAAGCGUUGUCCGGAAUUACUGGGCGUAAAGAGCUCGUAGGUGGUUUGUCGCGUCGUCUGUGAAAUUCCGGGGCUUAACUCCGGGCGUGCAGGCGAUACGGGCAUAACUUGAGUGCUGUAGGGGAGACUGGAAUUCCUGGUGUAGCGGUGAAAUGCGCAGAUAUCAGGAGGAACACCGAUGGCGAAGGCAGGUCUCUGGGCAGUAACUGACGCUGAGGAGCGAAAGCAUGGGUAGCGAACAGGAUUAGAUACCCUGGUAGUCCAUGCCGUAAACGGUGGGCGCUAGGUGUAGGGGGCUUCCACGUCUUCUGUGCCGUAGCUAACGCAUUAAGCGCCCCGCCUGGGGAGUACGGCCGCAAGGCUAAAACUCAAAGGAAUUGACGGGGGCCCGCACAAGCGGCGGAGCAUGUGGAUUAAUUCGAUGCAACGCGAAGAACCUUACCUGGGCUUGACAUAUGCAGGAUUGGGUCAGAGAUGGCUUGUCCCUUGUGGUCUGUAUACAGGUGGUGCAUGAUGUCGUCAGCUCGUGUCGUGAGAUGUGGGUAAGUCCCGCAACGAGCGCACCCUUGUCUUAUGUUGCAGCACGUUGGGUGGGACUCAUGAAGACUGCUGGGGCUACUCGGAGGAGUGGGAUGACGUCCAAAUCAUCAUGCCGUAGGUCAGCUUCCACAUGCUACAUG